GACGAACGCUGGCUGCGUGCUUAACACAUGCAAGUCGAACGGAAAGGCCCCUUUGGGGGUACUCGAGUGGCGAACGGGUGAGUAACACGUGAGUAACCUGCCCUUGACUUCGGGAUAACUUCAGGAAACUGGGGCUAAUACCGGAUAGGAAUCCUUGCUGCAUGGUGGGGGUUGGAAAGCUUCGGCGGUUUUGGAUGGACUCGCGGCUUAUCAGCUUGUUGGUGGGGUAGUGGCUUACCAAGGCUUUGACGGGUAGCCGGCCUGAGAGGGCGACCGGCCACAUUGGGACUGAGAUACGGCCCAGACUCCUACGGGAGGCAGCAGUGGGGAAUAUUGCACAAUGGGCGGAAGCCCGAUGCAGCAACGCCGCGUGCGGGAUGACGGCCUUCGGGUUGUAAACCGCUUUCAGCAGGGGCGAAGCUUUUGUGACGGUACCUGCAGAAGAAGCACCGGCUAACUACGUG
rnacentral:rRNA from 1 species